UACGGGGGGGGCAAGCGUUGUUCGGAAUUACUGGGCGUAAAGGGCUUGUAGGUGGCCAACUAAGUCAGACGUGAAAUCCCUCGGCUUAACCGGGGAACUGCGUCUGAUACUGGAUGGCUUGAGUUUGGGAGAGGGAUGCGGAAUUCCAGGUGUAGCGGUGAAAUGCGUAGAUAUCUGGAGGAACACCGGUGGCGAAGGCGGCAUCCUGGACCAACACUGACGCUGAGUGAGCGAAAGCCAGGGGA
rnacentral:rRNA from 1 species